GUGGAUAUAGCUCAGUUGGUAGAGUGCUUGCCUUGUAUGCAUAAGGUCCUGGGUUCAGUCCCCAGCACCACA
rnacentral:tRNA from 1 species